rnacentral:rRNA from 1 species
AGGGCUAGCGUCGGAUAUGAGUAGUGGAGGUAGAGCACUGAAUGGGCUAGGGGGCAUAGCGCUUACCGAACCUUAUCAAACUCCGAAUGCCACAUACUAUUAGUCCGGCAGUCAGACUGCGAAAGAUAAGUUCCGUAGUCAAAAGGGAAACAGCCCAGAUCGUCAGCUAAGGUCCCAAAGUGUAAGUUAAGUGGGAAAGGAUGUGAGAUUUCUAAGACAACUAGGAUGUUGGCUUAGAAGCAGCCAUUCAUUAAAAGAGUGCGUAAUAGCUCACUAGUCGAGAGAUCUUGCGCCGAAAAUGUAACGGGGCUAAACUUACCACCGAAGCUACGGGCUUGAACUUAGUUCAAGCGGUAGGAGAGCGUCGUAACCGGGCUGAAGUCGUACCGUAAGGAGCGGUGGACUGGUUACGAGUGAGAAUGUUGGCAUCAGUAGCGAGAUGUGGGUGAGAAUCCCACAGGCCGAAAACCUAAGGUUUCCUCAGGAAGGUUCGUCCGCUGAGGGUUAGUCGGGACCUAAGCCGAGGCCGAAAGGCGUAGGUGAUGGACAACUGGUUGAUAUUCCAGUACCACUACCAUCGUUAUUAUCGAUGGCGUGACGCAGGAGGAUAGUGUGUGCUAGCUAUUGGAUGCUAGUCUAAGCGUUUAGGCAGUGAGAGUAGGCAAAUCCGCUCUCAUAAUGCUGAGGCGUGAUGGGGAAGGUUCUACGGAACCGAAGUACAUGAUUCCACGCUGCCAAGAAAAGCGUCUAGAGAGAGAAGUAGUGCCCGUACCGCAAACCGACACAGGUAGGUGAGGAGAGAAUCCUAAGGCCGGCGGAAGAAUUACAGUUAAGGAACUCGGCAAAUUGACCCCGUAAGUUCGCGAGAAGGGGUGCCUACGAGAGUAGGCCGCAGAGAAUAGGCCCAAGCAACUGUUUAGCAAAAACACAGGUCUCUGCUAAAGCGAAAGCUGAUGUAUAGGGGCUGACGCCUGCCCGGUGCUGGAAGGUUAAGGGGAACACUUAGCGCAAGCGAAGGUGUGAACUUAAGCCCCAGUAAACGGCGGCCGUAACUAUAACGGUCCUAAGGUAGCGAAAUUCCUUGUCAGGUAAGUUCUGACCCGCACGAAUGGCGUAAUGACUUGGGCACUGUCUCAACUGUAAAUCCGGCGAAGUUGUAGUGCGAGUGAAGAUGCUCGCUACCCGCGAUUGGACGGAAAGACCCCGUAGAGCUUUACUGUAGCUUAGCAUUGAGUUUUGGUAUUGUCUGUACAGGAUAGGUGGGAGACUAGGAAACCAGGGCGUCAGCCUUGGUGGAGUCAACCUUGGGAUACCACCCUGACAGUACUGAAAUUCUAACUGGCGGCCAUGAAUCUGGUCACAGGACAUUGUUAGGUGGGCAGUUUGACUGGGGCGGUCGCCUCCUAAAAAGUAACGGAGGCGCCCAAAGGUUCCCUCAGAACGGUCGGAAAUCGUUCGAAGAGUGCAAAGGCAGAAGGGAGCCUGACUGCGACACCCACAAGUGGAGCAGGGACGAAAGUCGGGCUUAGUGAUCCGGUGGUACCUCGUGGGAGGGCCAUCGCUCAACGGAUAAAAGCUACCUCGGGGAUAACAGGCUGAUCUCCCCCAAGAGUCCACAUCGACGGGGAGGUUUGGCACCUCGAUGUCGGCUCGUCGCAUCCUGGGGCUGAAGUAGGUCCCAAGGGUUGGGCUGUUCGCCCAUUAAAGCGGCACGCGAGCUGGGUUCAGAACGUCGUGAGACAGUUCGGUCCCUAUCCGUCGCGGGCGUAGGAAAUUUGAGAGGAGCUGUCCUUAGUACGAGAGGACCGGGAUGGACUGACCUCUGGUGCACCAGUUGUUCCGCCAGGAGCACAGCUGGGUAGCUAAGUCGGGAAGGGAUAAACGCUGAAAGCAUCUAAGCGUGAAGCCCACCUCAAGAUGAGAUUUCCCAUAGCAUAAGCUAGUAAGACCCCUUGA